GAAGGCCAAGAUGAAACCAUAUUGCUUUUCACUAGCGCCAUAUUGGUUCAUAAAAACGUCUGCAGAACCAGCGAUGUAAGCAAACGGCGCUGCAGUUGCAAUUCCACCCGCCAGGGUAUAAAGAAGAAAUUGUGGUUGUUUUGUGACUGAAACAAAGUUUUUCACAACCGGUUUAGGAAGGAGCGAGAGGCUUCGGUCAGCAGCUCUCCCCUCCGGAAGGACAAAAUAUAUUUGCUAUUAAUAUGAGCAGAGUCAGUGCCGCGAGGAUCAUAGAUAUCGCCUGCCAGCCGAAAAAUAUCGUAACGUAGCUGCCAACAGCAGGGGCUAUCAUUGGAGAAACCGCUAUGACCAGCGUGAUCCAUGAAAAUGCUUGCGCAGUUUUGUCUGUAGGGAAGAGGUCUCGCACAAGCGCCUGAGCUGCUACCAUUCCCGCACAGCCACCCACUGCCUGGACAAAGCGC
rnacentral:misc_RNA from 1 species